GACGAACGCUGGCGGCGUGCUUAACACAUGCAAGUCGAGCGGUAAGGCCCUUUCGGGGGUACACGAGCGGCGAGCGGGUGAGUAACACGUGGGUGACCUGCCCUCAGCUCUGGGAUAAGCCCGGGAAACUGGGUCUAAUACCGGAUAUGACUCCAUGACGCAUGUUGUGGGGUGGAAAGCCUUGUGCGGCUGAGGAUGGGCCCGCGGCCUAUCAGCUUGUUGGUGGGGUGAUGGCCUACCAAGGCGACGACGGGUAGCCGGCCUGAGAGGGCGACCGGCCACACUGGGACUGAGAUACGGCCCAGACUCCUACGGGAGGCAGCAGUGGGGAAUCUUGCGCAAUGGGCGAAAGCCUGACGCAGCGACGCC
rnacentral:rRNA from 1 species